UUCAAAACAUUAGUAAAAUAGCAUUCAGCACUUUUUACUAAAUUUUACAAGUUUUUAUCUUUUUUUAGGAACCGUCAAGAAAAGAAGAUUUGUUGUGACAAUACAAAGUUCAAACUGGAAAAUUGGAAGUGAAUUGUGAACCUGUAAUGCCAAUCUCCUCCGUGAUAUCUGAAUUUCU
rnacentral:lncRNA from 1 species